rnacentral:misc_RNA from 1 species
CUCAGGGCACCAGAGCACCACCACCACUUCAGCACCUCAGGGCUCAGGCCCAAAGCUGCGCCUUUCUCUUUUCCCUCCUCCCGUGCUCCGUAUGUCAACGCGACGCGAACAAAAACAGCACCCGCCCUCUCCACCACCGGUCCACCGCUGCCCUGCCACACAACGAAGGUUCGCCCCCACCACGGUUCCUCCGCUCCCGGCUCCCGCUCGUAUAAAGCCGGCGCCCCUCGCAAGUCGCACCUCCACUAGACCACUACUGGCUCUUGCUUGGAUUCCCUCCGCUCCGGCUCUGCUGCCAAGCUCCUCGUCUCGUGCCUCCUACGCCAUUGGGCUAGCUGCCUGCUCGCCCGCCCCUUGCGCCGGGCAUGGCGGCCACGCUGGACGGAGCUGCCGGAUGCAGGAAGCGCAAGCGCGCGGCGCCUGGCCUUGCCGACCUGCACGACGACAUGCUCGAGCGCGUGCUCGCGCGCCUCCCACCGGCCAGCUACUUCCGCCUCCGGGGCGUCUCCCGCCGGUGGCGCGCCGCGGCGGAGUCCCGCAGCUUCCGCGCCGCCUGCGCGCGCGUCACGGCCCGGGACCCAUGGUUCCUCAUGCUCGAGGACUCCGACCACCAGGACCAGGACCAGGACGAGCGGCGGCCGCGCCCCGCCGCCGUGUUCGACUCCGCCGAGCGCGCCUUGGCGCGGUGGCGUGGCGCGCCGGUGCCGCUGCAGCCGGUGGCCGCCGCGAGCGGGCUCGUGCUCUACCGCGACCCGAGCACGGGUGGCCUCACCGUGGUCAACCCGCUCACGGGCGCGUCCCGCGCGCUCCCGCCGCCGGCGCGCGUGGCGGGCGCGCUGCAGGCCGUCGCCAUGUACGGCUCGCCGUACCGCGUGGUGCUCAUCCUGGGCGAGCUGCCGGAGCUGUCCACGGUGGCGUACGACUCGUCCACGAACGCGUGGAGCGAGCAGGCGGCGCUCUCCCGAAAACCAGAGGUGGAGGGCGCCCCGUCCCGGGAGCGCGUCGCGGAGGUCGGCGACGGCGACGGCGACGACACGGUCUACUUCCUGAGCAAGUCCGGCGACGUGGUGGCCAGCACCAUGCAGCGGAGCGCGUCGCGGCAGUACUCGUCCGCCGUGGCGUGCGGCGGCUGCGGCGGCGGCGACGCCGUGGCCUACUUCCUGAGCCGCUCGGGCACGGUGGUGGCCUGCGACCUGGCGCGCCGCGCGUUCGCGGAGCUGCCCCGGAUCCUGCCCGCCUACCACGAGCACUCCAUCGACGUGGUGGCCUGCGGCGGCGCCGCCUACGCGGUGGUGCUCUCGGAGUUCCUCGACGCCGCGAGCCUCCGCGUGUGGGAGUUCGCGGGGGGCGCGUGGCGGCAGGUGGCCGCGAUGCCGCCCGCCAUGGCGCACGGCUUCCGCGGCGCCAAGGCGGACGUGAACUGCGUCGGCCACGGCGGCCGCCUCAUGGUCUGCGUCAGCUCCAGCUCCGCCGGCGCCGGCGGCUGCUUCUUGUGCGACGUCGGGACCAACCGGUGGGAGGAGCUCCCUCGGCGCGCCGCAGGGGACGGCGACGCCACCACGGGCUUCGUGUCCGCGCUCUCGUUCGAGCCGAGAAUUGAGGCCGCCGUCUGACGAGUCUCAUCUCUCGGAGCCUCGGCAUUGCUGGUUUCUUUUGUGUCUAGUAGUAGUAGAUCGCUUGGCGGCAUCCCUGGUGCCUAGUGAGACAUGGAUUACGCUGCGGGCAUCCUGAUUCCAUGAAUUGUUCGCGUGUGAUUUGAGAUGGUUUCGUGUGAAUCAAAUCACCAAGCCUGCUAGUCCGUCCGUCGCUUCCAUCAUUCCAUGCGUGUUGUGGCAUUGUAGUGCUGCUGCGGAUCCUGUCUGGGCUCAGUGCUCAGGCUGCUGUCGUUUCUCGAGUCUCGUGCCGCUGGGCGCCGAGCCCUCAUCAAUCAGUCAACUUGAGAGCUCACUUUUUCCUUCCUGAAUUAGCAAAAUGCCAGAUGCCGCCCAGUCGUGUGCGAAAUGCAUGCGUUUAGUUGAUGAUCCUACUCCUAAG